AGUUCUGUAAUCUGGAGUUCAAGAUCAAGAUGUUGGAAAGUUAAUACCUGUACAUUUUGUUGCCAGAAUACAUGCUUCCUCCCUCUGUCAAUGGAAAAAACCCAACCUUCAACUGGGAAGCCAAACCACUCACACCUUGGUCCACAGGGUUGAAGGAGGCUGAGCUCAUCUCUACCGGGGCCAGUUUGUAAAAUGGGGAAAAGCAUCUUUCUCAGUCUCUACCUACCCCUCAGUGUUCUGGAUGCUUCUUCAGACCCCUGUAUCUUAACCUCUCUAGUGCUGUCCCUGAACUACAACAUUUACUUUGACUGCUGCCCACCUUCAUCUCCUCUCUUCUUGUAAGUGCCACCUCUCUUGAUUAUCCCUACCAUCUCUAUUCCCCUUCUGGCUUUGGGAUCCCUGGACCACUCUACACUGCUCCUGUUAAGGCUCCACCAUUACUCUACCUCUAGCAGAACUCCAGCAAUUGCUCCACGUCAGCCAAGUACCCCAACAUUCCUUAGACUACUGACA